rnacentral:ribozyme from 1 species
AGUUUGAAACCGAGCAACCAAAAACUUCUGCACUAGUUAAACUCCGUCUAGCGAAAAAAUUCAACCAUGUCCAUGGUAUUCGAUGAAUUCGGUCGCCCCUUCGUCAUUCUGAGGGAGCAACAGGCCAAAGCCCGCAUAAAGGGAAAGGAGGCACAGAAGUCGAAUAUCCUC